rnacentral:rRNA from 1 species
AUUGAACGCUAGCGGCAUGAUUCACACAUGCAAGUCGAACGAGUGGCGGACGGGCGAGGAAUAUAUCGGAACGUGCCCAAUAGCGGGGGAUAACUACUCGAAAGCGAGGCUAAUACCGCCUACGAUCGGAGGCGCCGAUAUCGGAUUAGCCAGGUUGUGGGGUAAAGGCGCACCAAGGCAACGAUCCGUAGCUGGGCUGAGAGGACGACCGGCCACACCGGGCCGGAGACACGGCGCAGACUCCGACGGGCGGCAGCUGUGGGGAAUGUUGGACAGUGUGUGAAAGCCUGUCCAAGCCAUCCCGCGUGUCUGAGAAGGCGUUCGGGUUGUAAAGUACUUUGGGUCGAGCGGCGGUAUCUGCAGAAUAAGGACCGGCUAACUACGCGCCAGCAGCCGCGGUAAUAC